rnacentral:lncRNA from 1 species
AAAUUAAACAAAUAUUUAAAAUCAGAUGAAAAUGCGAUGGUGAUGGAGUUGUAAUUGUAACAACCUGUAAGAGAUUCUUCGUCGGCACAGAUCGAGCGAGAGAGAGAAGGAGAAAUGCGAGAAGAAGGGUUUGAGAGAGUAAAUGUUUGUUUGUUUGUUUCUCGCUCUAGAGUUUUGUUUCUCUCUCUAGCUUUUCAUGUGAUGGAAACUCUUGUGGUUGAGUAUUUAUACACGAGAAAGGGGC